UACAGAGGUCUCAAGCGUUGUUCGGAUUCAUUGGGCGUAAAGGGUGUGUAGGUGGCGCGCUAAGUCGGGGUGUGAAAUUUCGGAGCUUAACUCCGAAACUGCAUUCGAUACUGGCGUGCUUGAGGACUGGAGAGGAGACUGGAAUUCAUGGUGUAGCAGUGAAAUGCGUAGAGAUCAUGAGGAAGACCAGUGGCGAAGGCGGGUCUCUGGACAGUUCCUGACACUGAGACACGGAAGGCCAGGGGAGCAAACGGG
rnacentral:rRNA from 1 species